GCUCUGCGAUUUCUUAUUUCACCCAAAAUCAAUAGAUGAGGCAGAAUAUUGAAGUUAACAAUUGUAUUAGUAAAGAUGAAACUAAUAGUAAUGUGGUUGUUUGAACCCGGGAAAAAGAAGAUUGAGUUGUUGUUGUAAUUGAAAUUGGGGUUUUAAGAAUGAAUUCAUGUUCUUAGGUGAAUUAAGUUUCUGUUAGAUGAAGAACAGAAGGGUUAUAGUUGAAUUGAAGUUCUGGAUUCGAUUUAGUGAUGAAUUGAAGAAUUAGGGUUUGUAACAAUUUUAAAAAUAUUCGGAAGAUGUAAUUGAAGGUUUGGAAGAAAUAUUAGAGAUGGGUUUUGACAGACUAAAUGAAUUAGGGUUUAUGCUGAAGAAUAAUUAGAGAUUGAAGAGUCGGAGUCUUUAUUGAACCAUUGAUGGUGUUGUUGUGAUGUGUUGUACGAGCUGAAUCAAGUCGGAAUAAAGAAGAAUUGGACUCACUUACUUGAAUGAAGUUAUCUUGAGGUAAUUGUCUACCUAUGUAAAUUUAAUAAGUUAUUAUUACUGGAGUUAAGUUUGGUAGAUUGUUAAUAAGCUAAGAUUGAAUUGGAUAUGCAAUUCUGUAAUGAAAUUGUAGUUGUAGGUUAGUGGCUCUGUGGUGGUGAAAGAAUAUGUGGUUGAUUGUUCAGGUGCUGGUUUAAGGAAUUACUGUUAAAGACCUUUGAGAUGGAGCUGUGUUGAGUUGUGGUUAAGGUUGCUUUGUGUUGAGCCUAAGGGAGUUGGAAUGUGUUAGAAUGAUACAAAAAUUGGGGUUAUGAACUAGUGUUAAUGUGAAAUUGCAGAUGAUGAAAAUGAGUUAAUUGGUAGUUUGUACAGGUUGAUCUUAAUUGUAGAGUUUAGUUACAUAGUGGUGGUUCUGAGGUUGUUGGUGAGUUACAAGGAAUUGUUGGAAGUUGAAUCGAGUUACAGUGAUGGAGAUGUAGGUGAUGGUCCUGUGCAAAGAAUGGAACUGAAGAUACGGUAGUGCUGGUUUAGUAAGUGCAGAAUCAUGGUGUUGUUAACAUAAUUGAAUUUCCAAAUUUAUAGGAUAAAUGAGAAUUCAGGGUAUGAGAUUGUAUUGCUAUGUAUGAUGAAUGUUGUGUUUUGCAGGAGUUGAGAUGAUAUUGGAUACGACCGGUGAUAUUGAAUUGGUUUGGUAGUUCAAUGAAGGAGGUGAGAUAAACUCAGUAGUGAUGUGUUGAUGUUAAGUUGGUUUGGUAUCAGUAAAGUUGUAAUGGUGAAUGAGUGAGUAGUCAUGGUGUUGGGAAACACCUAAUUUAAUUGAACUGGUGGGGGUUAUAAAUGAGUUGUGUUGCCGAUUCUUUCAGGUGUUGGUAUGUGUUGGGUUGGGAAAGUAGAAAAUAUGUGGAAGUAGUGAGAAUCACAGUGGGGACUCUAUUUGAGAGCUUGCAGUUAUUGCGAUUGCAGUUUCAGAGACAGAGCAGAGUUGCGCAGCGAAAGCUCCGAGAAGUUGACUUCGCUAGUUGGUUAUAUUCUGAUAUAUUUAUUAUGUUGCAUAUUCUAUUUGUAAACCAAAUGACUAUUGUAUAUGUAUCAUUUGAGAGGAGUUCUUGUAUAUAUAUUUCUGAGCGGGGUUAGUUUUGGGUUAAGUUUUGUAGCAGAUUUAUAAUUGAAUGCUUAAGUUUAUGAUUUGGUUUCUUAGUGCC